AGAGAGGCCGCCUUGUCAGAAGCCAAUUACUUUGCCGAAAGCAAAAACUGCAGACUUGAAAAGAAAGGUUGACAGUGAACACUUGGGCAAGAGAGCAGUUUGCGCUGGAAAGUCCCUGGACGUGCCAUGACAUGAAAUCCUGACUUUAUUUGGGCUGCAGUUGUUUUGCAAUUGGGUUGCUGUUGUUCUCCUGUGGUGCGAACUGGCUUGCUAAAGGUCCCAUUAGGAAGCUUUACCCUCACGUUCCCCUUUUCCGGCUCUUUUUUUCAGAUAAGCAUGUCCAUCUUUUGCUGUUGCUGUCUCUCAGCUACUUCUGAAGAGCGGGAACCACUUCCUGUACAUAGAAGGCAGCCCUGCCGAAACAUCGGGGUCUUUGGUAAGGAGGGCACCCUCACAAUGAAGCUGGUAAACGUACUUCCCAUUGACAACCUGUUCUCAGAUAUCGCUAAAACUUUCAACAAGCAGCAUGAGGACUACUCUGCCAUGAAGGCAGCUGCCCAAAAGCUGAAGGAGCUUUCUGGCUGCGCUCCCAUUGCUAGUCUUGCAGCCUGUAUAGAGCGUACACAGCAGGAGCAUGGUGCCUGCGAGGUGCAGGUGCACAUGGAGGGCUAUAGUUUUUCACUCGUUGUAAAGGAGAAGAAAGUGCCUGACAAACUGAAGCGGGUCCAGCAGCAGAUGGAGAAGCUGAGUUGUUCCACAAAGCGUGUCCUUGUGACAGAAACUACCCUGCAGGAAAUGAUCUGCUCAGUGCUUCAGAGCCAGACUCAGCUGGAAAAGAGGAUCAAAUCUGCAAACCCAGAGUAUCUGGACCAAAAGCUUUAAUGUACAGUAAAGGACCUAUGAAGACAAACAACCAGAGGAACUCAUCGAUUUCACACUGAUCUGCACUAAAAAAAACAACUUUUUUUUUUUUUUUUUUUUUUUUUUUUUUUUUUUUUUUUUUUUUUUUUUUUUUUUUUUUAGUAAUAAUAAAACAAAGCGCUUUCAGGAGCA
rnacentral:lncRNA from 1 species